GCCAGGUGUGGUGGUGCAUGCCUGUAAUCCCAGCGUCUCAGAAGGCUGAGGCAGGAGGAUCACAAUUUCAAAGCCAGCUUCUACAAUUAGCAAGGUCCUAAGCAGCUCAGUAAGACCCUGUCUUUA
rnacentral:sRNA from 1 species